AUGAACGCUGGCGGUAUGCUUAACACAUGCAAGUCGAACGGACUCUUCGGAGUUAGUGGCGGACGGGUGAGUAACGCGUGAGAAUCUGGCUUUGGGUUCGGGACAACCACUGGAAACGGUGGCUAAUACCGGAUGUGCCGAGAGGUAAAAGAGAAAUUGCCUGAAGAUGAGCUCGCGUCUGAUUAGCUAGUUGGUGAGGUAAAGGCUCACCAAGGCAGCGAUCAGUAGCUGGUCUGAGAGGAUGACCAGCCACACUGGGACUGAGACACGGCCCAGACUCCUACGGGAGGCAGCAGUGGGGAAUUUUCCGCAAUGGGCGAAAGCCUGACGGAGCAAUACCGCGUGAGGGAAGAAGGCUCUUGGGUUGUAAACCUCUUUUCUUAGGGAAGAACAAAAUGACGGUACCUAAGGAAUCAGCAUCGGCUAACUCCG
rnacentral:rRNA from 1 species